rnacentral:rRNA from 1 species
GUUGGGUUAAGUCCCGCAACGAGCGCAACCCUUGUCUUUAAUUGCCAUCAUUCAGUUGGGCACUUUAAAGAGACUGCCGGUGUUAAACCGGAGGAAGGUGGGAUGACGUCAAGUCCUCAUGGCCUUUAUGCCCAGGGCUACACACGUGCUACAAUGGGUGGUACAAAGAGAUGCAAUCUCGCAAGAGCAAGCAAACCUCAAAAAGCCAUCCUCAGUUCGGAUUGGAGUCUGCAACUCGACUCCAUGAAGUCGGAAUCGCUAGUAAUCGCGGAUCAGCACGCCGCGGUGAAUACGUUCCCGGGCCUU